GCUUGCUAUGUAAUUUUUUCAAUCGAACUGGGAUUUUGUGGACCAGAAGAUUUCCUCCAUUCGAUAAUAGCUACUGGCCUACUAAGUCCCAACUUGUUUGGAAAUUGUCCGACAGAUAGCAAGC
rnacentral:pre_miRNA from 1 species